UACGGAGGGUGCAAGCGUUAUCCGGAUUCACUGGGUUUAAAGGGUGCGUAGGAGGGCAGGUAAGUCAGUGGUGAAAUCUUCGAGCUUAACUCGGAAACUGCCGUUGAUACUAUCUGUCUUGAAUACCGUGGAGAUGAGCGGAAUAUGUCAUGUAGCGGUGAAAUGCUUAGAUAUGACAUAGAACACCAAUUGCGAAGGCAGCUCGUUACACGAAUAUUGACUCUGAGGCACGGAAGCGUGGGGAUCAAACAGGAUUAGAUACCCUGGUAGUCCACGCCCUAAACGAUGGAUACUCGACAUACGCGAUACACUGUGUGUGUCUGAGCGAAAGCAUUAAGUAUCCCACCUGGGAAGUACGACCGCAAGGUUGAA
rnacentral:rRNA from 1 species